rnacentral:rRNA from 1 species
UACGAACCGUGCGAACGUUAUUCGGAAUCACUGGGCUUAAAGCGCGUGUAGGCGGCCCGGCACGUCCGUCGCUGAAAGCCCCCGGCUCAACCGGGGAAGUGGCGUGGAUACGACCGGGCUCGAGGGACGUAGGGGGGGCUGGAACUUCCGGUGGAGCGGUGAAAUGCGUUGAGAGCGGAAGGAACGCCCGUGGCGAAAGCGAGCCCCUGGACGUCAACUGACGCUGAGACGCGAAAGCUAGGGGAGCGAACGGG